AAUAUUUCUCUCCUGCUCGAUUUCUCUCUCCCAUUAUCGAUACAAACAACAACCCCUUACUCUCCUCUGAUUACCAGUUCAUCACCAAGACACGAUCACCAUCACUCAUUGCCGGCUAUCACCACGGAAACCACCAUCUACUACCUCUGAUCGACAACCAUACCCACCUAUGAUUACAACCUCCAUCUCCGAUUCACCGCCGUCGACCGACCACCGAUUGAUUAUUAGUUACUGCUGAUUGAUUACAAACCUCCAUCUUCGAUUGACCGCCGUCGACCGACCGCCGUCAACCUCCAUCUCCGAUGUACCGUGGAUACUCUCUUUCUGAGUUGGUAAUUUGAAGGAAUCAGUGAAUCAUCCGAAAUAUGGUCAAUUUGAAGGAAUAAUACCGGAUAGGUUGCUGUGAAAAAAGUAUGCUCUGAAGAUUUUGUGCUCCCAUGCUAACACGCUCCGCAAUGGAAGUAACCGCUGGAUCGGUAGCAUACAACAUGGCGAGUAGGCUUAGUGUUUAAAACGUUCCUUGCAAACAAUAGUAGUAAAGACUAUGUUUUUGUUUUUCCGAUAUGUGGAUAUUUGUUUGUUUGGUUGGAUUAUUUUUUUUUUAUGUAAACUGGAUGUUUAGUUGGUUGGUAUACCUUAUAAUAUGUUUUUGAAUUUGUUUUUGGGACAUGUUAUGGUUUAUGGUGAAGUACUAUGAGUUUACUAAUCUAAAAAA
rnacentral:lncRNA from 1 species